rnacentral:misc_RNA from 1 species
GAUGAGAACGCAGCGAAAUGCGAUAAGUAAUGCGAAUUGCAGAUCUCCGUGAGUCAUCGAAUCUUUGAACGCACAUUGCGCCCCUUGGUAUUCCGAGGGGCAUGCCUGUUCGAGCGUCAUAUUAACCACUCCCGCUUGCGGGGUCUUGGGCUUCGCCUCCGGGCGGGCCUUAAAAUCAGUGGCGGUGCCGUCGGGCUCUACGCGUAGUAAAUUUUCUCGCGAUAGGGUCCCGGUGGAUGCUUGCCAACAACCCCCAACUUCUUAAGGUUGACCUCGGAUCAGGUAGGGAUACCCGCUGAACUUAAGCAUAUCAAUAAGCGGAGGA